UGUUUAUUUACGAGAUAAUUUCAUUGUUUUAAAUCUUAUUAUCUUUUAAUAUUAAAAAAAAUAUUCUUAAACUUUUGUGUGUGUAUAUUUGUGUAUCCAUAAAAAUAGCUAUUAAGGCGACCAGGGAAAAAAUCAUAAUUUUGGUCAAAAAUAGCUAUAUACUAAGCAUUUUUUAUUUGUUUUACUUUAUUUAAAGCCUAUUGUAUAUUAUCCCGAAGUUUCAUUCCAUAAAAAACAGAAAUAAGGAAAUUCGAUAUUUCGUGUACCAUCAGCAUCCAAAUUUUCAAGUAUACAGAAAUUUAACUUUCCGGAAUAUAACGGAAAUUUUCGGGUAUCUCCGUGGUACCAUCUCCGUGCAAUUAUGCAGUAUGGCGUUCAUCUCUUACGGAAAGAGAAUGGUAACUUGGUAAGUGUUUAAAAUACAUAUUCAACGUUUUUUUCGUUUAUUUUUAUGACUUUUGUACAGUAGUAUAAAUCGUCCACCCUUUGGAUGAAAAGCAAAUGAUUUAUCCGGAUUUUGUUCAUCCGAAACUAAAUCACUAGUAUCAACAUCCGGUGUAAUUUUUGCUGGUAUUUUGGAGAAACCCGAUUGAUUUCUAGCAAACUUGGUUUACCACUACAUCGUCGCUUAUUAUUGUUUGUUGCUGCUUGGGACAAUAAAGUUAAGUCAGCAACCGUCUACCAGACUGCAAGAUUCAUCUCUUCCAAAGGAUGUUGUACCUUUCCAGAUACACUGUGUUUUGUGUGGAUAAGAAAUGCAGAGUGGUACCACCAAUCACCUAAUGGGGACAGUUCCUGCAAUUUACAGAAAAGCUCUCAAUUGUAGCCCUACGAACUUCAGAUACUGCCGAUGGUGAAGCUUGGGUGCACUAGGCCGGUUUUCCAGCCGUGUGGAAUCAACAUCUCCAUCUGAACUGGGGCCGGGAAUUAUAUAAGACUCCUUAGCAGCAUGAGUGCCAGCCAGUCAUUGCUGUUCUUUGCAUUGCUGAGGAGGACAGUCCUGCCAACAUAACAGUUUGUUCAAUAACAGGAGACAAACAGAAACACAGAGGUGCUAUACAUUCUGAUGGAAAAACAAAAGCAUCUCCCAUCAUUUUGGCGUGGCUCAGAUCAAGAGGAGAAUUUUAAGAAAGGUAAUAACUGAGCAACUAAGAACAUGCAAGUUGCACUGGUUAGAGUGUAAAAAAGACCCAUCUCCCUUCAUAAGAAUUGAUAAUCAUCACUGUAUUAAAUCAAGAAAUUGAAACGUAAGUGUCUUGUCUUUUGCAGUG